UUAAGGUCCAUUCCUGAGAAUCCUAUUUUGUUAUAUGAGCAUCAUUUUACACUUUUAGCUCUAUGCUGUCCUGCCUUGGACAGAACAAAGAGAAGUGACAAGAUGAACCCGGCACGUUAAAAAUAAAAUGAAGGGAUGCAGUGCAUAUGGUUAUCUCUCAAGGUUACCCAAGCACCUACAUUCUGAAGACUCUAACAGAAGGGAAAUUUUUCCUGAUGGGAUUCAGACAUUUUCUGGCACCAUUUCUGACAAUGCCAUUUACCUGGGAUGUGCCCAAGCCUCCAGCUGAAAAACCUCACAGAGAGGCAUUUUGGAGACACAGAAUAAUCACAGGAUGA
rnacentral:lncRNA from 1 species